AAAGAACAAUCUGAAAGCUCCACCAGUUCAUUGGCUUAUAGUUGGAACAAAGAAUUCCCAGGCUGGUGUGGUUGUCUGUUACUUCCAGAUUCGGUUGUAAGAGCAGAUGUUAAGCAGGGCCGGAGAAACAUGGCUGUAGAUUUGACCCGCCGUGGCACAUACACGCAGCCGUGUCCCCAUUCCUCUCCUCCCACUUACUUAACCAACCUUGCCAAGGAGACAUACAGGAAAGUUGCUUAGAAUAAAAUUGAUGUUGAUUUGCAAAUGCGGAUGGUAUAUGAUCCAAGUUGGCUAGGUGAACCCCUGGCGCCGAGAUGUGCUGUUCUAAUGACUGCACAGCAGAGCACAGCACCGAAUGUGCACUAUCUCCUUGCCCUUGAUUCGAUGGACCAUAUGUAUAACCGUUAGAUCCGAUAAUGUAUAUAUUAUGUGGUUUUGUCCCAUAUUGAGUGUUUUAAAGUAACAUUAUCCCACAUUUCUUGUGGUGACAAAUUAGCCAUAAGACUCUCUCUAUAAAUUGGUUGCCUUGGGUUGGUUCUUAUGACACACCAAAAUUAGUCAAGUGGCAUUUCCAUAUAUAGUUGUGGUUACUUGUUUUGCUUGAGGGCUCUUGGGAGAUUGAGGUUUGUGGGCUUUAGAAUUGUUAUUCGAGCUUAUUUUGUAUUCUCUUUUGAUAGUGAAAUUUUCUUUCGCCUUUACCCGUGGAUGUACAAGAUGACCGAACCGCAUAUAUUCUUGUAUUCUUAAAUUUCUUGUUCUUACUUUUGUCAUUGUUUAGGUUCUAAAAAUAUUUGUUUGGGCAAUAUUCCUAAGAAAUUUGUAUCAGAGCCCUUAUUAUAUUUGUCGAAAUCUUUUAUUACC